GGGGAUUUAGCUCAAUGGUAGAGCGCUUGCCUAGCAAGCGCAAGGCCCUGGGUUCAGUCCUCA
rnacentral:tRNA from 1 species